rnacentral:rRNA from 1 species
GACGGAGGAUGCAAGCGUUAUCCGGAAUGAUUGGGCGUAAAGCGUCCGCAGGUGGCAGUUCAAGUCUGCUGUCAAAGACCGGGGCUUAACUUCGGAAAGGCAGUGGAAACUGAACAGCUAGAGUAUGGUAGGGGCAGAGGGAAUUCCUGGUGUAGCGGUGAAAUGCGUAGAGAUCAGGAAGAACACCGAUGGCGAAGGCAGCUCGCUGGGACGGUACUGACGCUGAGGCGCGAAAGCGUGGGGAGCAAACAGG